UACAGAGGUCUCAAGCGUUGUUCGGAUUCAUUGGGCGUAAAGGGUGCGCAGGUGGCGCUGUAAGUCAGGUGUGAAAUUUCGGAGCUUAACUCCGAAACUGCAUUUGAUACUGCGGUGCUCGAGGACUGGAGAGGAGACUGGAAUUUACGGUGUAGCAGUGAAAUGCGUAGAGAUCGUAAGGAAGACCAGUGGCGAAGGCGGGUCUCUGGACAGUUCCUGACGCUGAGGCACGAAGGCCAGGGGAGCAAACGGG
rnacentral:rRNA from 1 species